rnacentral:rRNA from 1 species
UCAGGCCUAACACAUGCAAGUCGUACGAGAGUUUUUAACUCUAGUGGCGGACGGGUGAGUAACACGUGAGAAUUUGCCUUUAGGAGGGGGAUAACAAUUGGAAACGAAUGCUAAUACCCCAUAUGCUUUUGAGUGAAAUGGAUUUUAUCUGCCUAGAGAGAAGCUCGCGGCUGAUUAGCUUGUUGGUAAGGUAAGAGCUUACCAAGGCGACGAUCAGUAUCUGGUUUGAGUGGGGGAUCAGACACACUGGAACUGAGA